UACGUAGGGUGCGAGCGUUAAUCGGAAUUACUGGGCGUAAAGCGUGCGCAGGCGGGCUUUUAAGCCAGACGUGAAAUCCCCGGGCUUAACCUGGGAAUGGCGUUUGGGACUGGGAGUCUGGAGUGCGGCAGAGGAGACUGGAAUUCCUGGUGUAGCAGUGAAAUGCGUAGAUAUCAGGAGGAACACCGGUGGCGAAGGCGGCCCUCUGGACGGUGACUGACGCUGAGGCGCGAAAGCGUGGGGAGCAAACAGG
rnacentral:rRNA from 1 species